AGUAUCCAAGUAAAAGGUGAUUGAUUUGGGCUGAGCCUUUCUGAUGGUGUGUUAUAUAAUCACCAAUUGUAUUGCAUCGGAAUUUUUGCAUGGUAGCAAUGCUGUUAGCAUGGGCGCUUAAGCAGAUGGGUGUGAGAAAAGUUCCUGGGGCCGACUGAAUGUUAGUUUUUUUCUACUGUAAGUUUUGGGAUUUUUUUCGCACUGAUUUUUCAGUGUGCUCUCAAGUGGAAUUAUGCCGCAUGACCUUCACUAUACGUUUAUCGCUCUCAUUCUUAAAAUAUAAAAAAACGGGUCUCCCCGAAGUAUUUUUGCCCUAUUAGUUUGGAUCUCCUUCUCAACGCCAACUGCACGAAGAUGAUACUGCCUACCAGCUCAGGCGAUGUGACUACGGCAAGGGGACUUGAGCUGACCCCCACCUGACCGGCGGACGAUGCUGUGGCUCGUCAAAUGGAUGCACCACGACUAGGAGAGGCAGAGCAAGUCUCCUUCGAAUUCGCCCCACCGGGAGUAAGACAAUGUGUGGUGAGUUUAUUUUUCACAACGCGCCGCUAUAAUGUUAUGAAGAACAUGACAACGAGCGUGUGGUAGUUAGGGCGAUGGAUGAUCGACCCAUGACAUCUGACAAAUACCUAUUGGUUCUCCAUGAACUUCAACAAGUGAGCAUCUGACACGUUUGAUGUGAGCAUUCAAAAAUAAUCUAGUUAUUGAUACCGUUGCAAUGACGGUUCAAAAAUAAUCUAACUAUUUAAGUAGUUAAGGUCGAAUUUUCCUAGGGUCUCAAGGUUACGUUUACUCAAAGUGUGAUGAAGUGCUAAUAGCAAGUAACCAAGUUAUGUGGCGUAGAUUCGACGAUUUCUUAAUUAAAUUAAAAACUAAAAAUAAUAAGAAAACAGGGAUUGCAAGACUGUAUUGGAUAUGGGUUGGAAACAAUUGUAAUGCAAUUCCUUAGAUUUUAAAUCCCCAUAAGCUAUCCAUACAAACAAACGAUAUCCAACUUAUUUAAUUUAUACAAAAUAAGAUAAAUACAAUUUACUGUCGCAAUUCUUCUCUGUAGGGUCACACCCUUUUGGGACCGCUAACCUACUACCAAUCCUAAAAUCUCAGUCUGCUCUCUCGAGUCAGGAUCUGAAACCUGUACGACGAUAAAUCAAAUGAGAAUUGCACUCUUGGCGGACUAGUCUAAUCGGCCCUUAUUAGUGUUAACAAUUAACCUAGUUGAUUAAUGUUGAGGUUCUAAGAUAGGCAAGCUCUUUCGAGUCAAAACAAAUCUAACAAGAUCUUAUUCAGCUUGACCAAACAAGAAAAGAACAUAAACGAAAUCAAUUAUAAACCGAAAUUCAUCCAACUCGCAUAAAUCAUCAAAGUCAAAUAAUCAUUAUUUCAUAAGGAAUCACCUAGGGUUCAUACAAUAUAAGCUGAAUGGAGGUUAGCUACUCAUAGUCACGAAGAAUAAAUCACAAUCAACAAAAGAAACCAUUGAAACUAAGUUUACAAGAAGAAAUCUCAAAAACCUAAUCCUACCGAUCUUAGUCGAAGAACUUGAUUUGAUAAUCUUGAUACUUCGUCGUCGAUCCAACUUCUCGAAGUUAAUGUCUUCUCGCCACUCAAAAGUCUCUCAACUCUCUCUCAAAUUUGGUCAAAAAACUCGCCAUAAACUAAAGGAGGAGCCCUUUAUUUAUAGGAUUCGAGUUCCUUAUCCCAGCUGGAUUUGGUCGUAUAUUACUUCU
rnacentral:lncRNA from 1 species